CCUACGGGUGGCAGCAGUAGGGAAUAUUGCUCAAUGGGGGAAACCCUGAAGCAGCAACGCCGCGUGAGGGAUGAAGGUUUUCGGAUUGUAAACCCCUUUUGUUAGAGAAGAUAAUGACGGUAUCUAACGAAUAAGCCCCGGCUAACUACGUGCCAGCAUCCGCGGUAAUACGGAGGGUGCCAGCGUUACUCGGAAUCACUGGGCGUAAAGGGGGCGUAGGCGGGAUAGCAAGUUAGGUGUGAAAUCCUAUGGCUUAACCAUAGAAUUGCAUUUGAAACUGGUAUUCUAGAGUAUGGGAGAGGUAGGUGGAAUGCGUGGUGUAGGGGUAAAAUGCGUAGAGAUCAAGAAGAAUGCUCAUUGCGAAGGCAGCCUACUAGAGCAUAACUGACGCUGAUGCGCGAAAGCGUGGGGAGCAAACAGGAUUAGAUACCCCUGUAGUC
rnacentral:rRNA from 1 species